rnacentral:lncRNA from 1 species
UUUAUCUACAGUUAGCUGCACCAGCCACAGCAAGGGACAAUCCAGCAAAAGAUUAGCCACUGGGAUGAAAGACAGACAACAAACCCAACACAUAGAACCAAGGUACAGCCAUCCAAAAUUAAAAUGGGGAUUUGAUACAAUUAAACAUGGUCCACCUAGAGAGAAAGUGAGCUGCUGUACUUCAAAAGCCAUUAAGGAGGUUAAGGAGCAAGAACAGGUAAAAUCAAUGAGAAUCAAUAAAGAUCAUAGUAAAGAAAACUAGAAUUCUGAAAAC